CACCACUGGUCAAAAUCUGGGGACAGACAUCCCAAUCUGGCUGGAUGAGCUUGCGUGUGC
rnacentral:tRNA from 1 species